UACGUAGGGGCCGAGCGUUGUCCGGAGUUAUUGGGCGUAAAGCGCGCGCAGGCGGCUUGACGCGCCCGACGUGAAAGCCCCCGGCUUAACCGGGGAGGGUCGUCGGGUACGGUCAGGCUUGAGGGCGGGAGAGGGUGGUGGAAUUCCCGGUGUAGUGGUGAAAUGCGUAGAGAUCGGGAGGAACACCUGUGGCGAAGGCGGCCACCUGGGCCGACCCUGACGCUCAGGCACGAAAGCGUGGGGAGCAAACAGG
rnacentral:rRNA from 1 species